GGCAACCUGGCCGAGCGGUUAAGGCGCUACGUUCAGGAUCAUCUUGAGUAUCGUAGUCUCGAAAGGGGCGUGUGUUCGAAUCACACGGUUGUCA